UACAGAGGGUGCGAGCGUUGUUCGGAAUUACUGGGCGUAAAGGGCUCGUAGGCGGCCAACUAAGUCAGACGUGAAAUCCCUCGGCUUAACCGGGGAACUGCGUCUGAUACUGGAUGGCUCGAGUUUGGGAGAGGGAUGCGGAAUUCCAGGUGUAGCGGUGAAAUGCGUAGAUAUCUGGAGGAACACCGGUGGCGAAGGCGGCAUCCUGGACCAACACUGACGCUGAUGAGCGAAAGCCAGGGGAGCAAACGGG
rnacentral:rRNA from 1 species